UACGGAGGGGGCUAGCGUUGUUCGGAAUUACUGGGCGUAAAGCGCACGUAGGCGGCUUUGUAAGUUAGAGGUGAAAGCCCGGGGCUCAACUCCGGAAUUGCCUUUAAGACUGCAUCGCUAGAAUUGUGGAGAGGUAAGUGGAAUUCCGGGUGUAGCGGUGGAAUGCGUAGAGAUCCGGAAGAACACCGGUGGCGAAGGCGGUCUGCUGGGGUCGAACUGACGCUGAGGCGCGACAGCGUGGGGAGCAAACAGG
rnacentral:rRNA from 1 species